rnacentral:rRNA from 1 species
UACGUAGGGUGCGAGCGUUAAUCGGAAUUACUGGGCGUAAAGCGUGCGCAGGCGGUUCGUUGUGUCGGCGGUGAAAGCCCCGGGCUUAACCUGGGAAUGGCCGUCGAAACUGGCGAACUGGAGUGUGGCAGAGGGGGGUGGAAUUCCGCGUGUAGCAGUGAAAUGCGUAGAGAUGCGGAGGAACACCGAUGGCGAAGGCAGCCCCCUGGGCUGACACUGACGCCUCAGGCACGAAAGCGUGGGGAGCAA